UCCGUGUGCGUCGUCGACGAGUCAGAGAGGUUCGAUCUGGCUCAGAACGAACGCUGGCGGCAGGCCUAAAACAUGCAAGUUGAACGGGUGUAGCAAUACAUCAGUAGCGGACGGGUGAGGAAGAUAUGGGAACGUGCCCUUUGGUGUGGGAUAACUUUUGGAAACGGGAGGUAAUACCGCAUAAGCCCCACGGGGGAAAGGGAAAUCGCCGAAGGAGCGGCCCAUAUUGGAUUAGCUAGUUGGUUAGGUAAGAGCUGACCAAGGCGACGAUCCAUAGCCGGUUUGAGAGGAUGAUCGGCCACACUGGGACUGAGACACGGCCCAGACUCCUACGGGAGGCAGCAGUUAGGAAUAUUGGACAAUGGGGGAAACCUUGAUCCCAGCCAUGCCGCGUGAGUGAAGAAGGCCUUCGGGUUGUAAAGCUCUUUUGUAUGGGAAAAUGAUGAUGGUACCAUAAGAAUAAGCACCGGCAAACUUCGUGCCAGCCGCCGC
rnacentral:rRNA from 1 species